ensembl:lncRNA
CUGGGGGCAGCCAGGCAGGCAGAGCUGCUGCCGGGUGUGGGACGCUGAGGGCAGCGUGCAUGCAAAGGAUGGAUGGUUGCUAACCCUGCGUGAGUUGGAGGCUGUCACAAAGAGGACUCCCAUCUCUUGCUGCCAGCAGCUAAAAUCAAUACCAUUGCACAGAGGAUGUGAGGGAGGCUCCUGAAGCGGUGCGCUGCGGCCUCCAACAUCAAUCUGUCUCAUUGGACUCAAGUUAGCAGCUCGGUGCUGCCCGGGCAAACUGCUCAGCCAACAAAAGCCAUGCAUCAUUUCACCUGCAUCCCGCUUGGAUUCUGAGAAGGGACCUUUAAAGACCAUCUGGUCCCAUUCCACGCACUGGACAGGAACACCUGCAGGUGCUCAGAGGCCCCCAGCCAGACUGCAGGGAGAUCCUGGGGAUCCCUAUAGGAGCUGGCAGGAAACACCACACUGGGAAACCCCACCUGGCUGAGGGUCCCCGGGUGGCUGCACUGUUCUCUGAGAAUCACUGUGCUCUCUGCAACCUCUGCCAGCAGUCCUCCCACCACUAUUUAUUGCAGUUUCCAGACCACCUGCAGGCCCCCUGAGCUCUGCGUGAGGGCAGAUUUGCGGCGGCCACGGAUCA